CUAGUAAAGUCUGGUGUGUAUAUAUACAAAACAAAGUCGGGCUACUCCAUGGCCCACACAUCACUCACGUGAACCGAAGGCCACUCUCGAUUUAGCCUAAAGGUUGGGGAUGUUUUUGAUUCGCCCACAGAAAACACAGGUAUGUUGGGACAGUUGUCUUGCCUUUAAUGAUUUAAGAGUAACGUUAUUCCAUGUACAACUAAUAGGGAUAAAGAAAGUUGAUCCACUUUCCAGAUCGUAAGCAAAGCUUGAAGAAAACGGGAAUUUUGUAGACAAUAAUUACACAUCAAGUAAAGGGGCUGAAUAUAUGUGGUGUCUUUCCUUCCUAAUUAUCACCUAGCGGUGAGUAAGAUAAAUAUUUUGUGGAACCCUCGGUAGGACCAAUCUAACAAAAUACAGGAAUAAAAGAUAUAGAGAAUUCGGAAAUAACGACAGACUGCUGUCGUGGUAUGGAAAGAAAAGUUUCCUAACAUCAUUUUUAUUUGAUAAAAGAAUGUUUAUAAACUAUUCACGAUACAUGAUCGUGAAUUGUCAAACAUUACUGUGUCUCCACAAUGGAGUCCAGAACUAUUAACUUGAUGAACAUAUAACUAUAUUCUCUAUAAACGUUCCUUUUUUUUGUUUUCUUCCAGCUGGAACAGACUGUCAGUACUUCCUGAAAACACGUUUUCCAUGAUGGUUGGUUUACGUGAAGCGAAUUUUGCCAACAACCUAAUCCAGUUUCUACCUUUAACAACCUGGAACCAUGCUCUGUCUACUGUUAAUACAAUUGAUGUGUCCGGAAACUUCCUAAUUUGUGACUGUCACAUCAAGUGGAUAUUAACCAACUUGUCCUCUACCACAAAACUACAUGGGGUUUGCAGUGCCCCCUCAAAGUUAGCAAAUAAACUUUUGAAAUACUCCGCUGGAAUCGCGGAGUGUUGAAACGAUUUACGUUCACUGGUGUUUGAUGUAAGCUUUUUGUUUAUCUGUAGCCAUUGUUUGCAGCUUUUUGUUCAUCAGUAGCCCUUAUUUUGCACACACUGUACACACACAGAGACAAAAACAAACAAUCCUAAAUCCGAUAAAUAAUUAUCAGUUUUCAUCAACGUUAUUUUUAAUCUUCAGGCACUGAGACACUGUUUUGAUGAACGUUCAGUUUUCAUCAACGUUAUUUUUAAUCUUCAGACACUGAGCCACUGUUUUGAUGAACGUUAAGAGUUUUAGCUGUAGGUUGAUGAUAUGGUACUUAUACCGUUACUUAGUAACGACACAA